GACGAACGCUGGCGGCGUGCUUAACACAUGCAAGUCGAACGGAAAGGCUCCAGCUUGCUGGAGUACUCGAGUGGCGAACGGGUGAGUAACACGUGGGUAAUCUGCCCUGCACUCUGGGAUAAGCCUGGGAAACUGGGUCUAAUACUGGAUAUGACCUUUCUCCUUAUGGGGUUUGGUGGAAAGUUUUUCGGUGUAGGAUGAGCCCGCGGCCUAUCAGCUUGUUGGUGGGGUGAUGGCCUACCAAGGCGACGACGGGUAGCCGGCCUGAGAGGGUGAUCGGCCAUAUUGGGACUGAGAUACGGCCCAGACUCCUACGGGAGGCAGCAGUGGGGAAUAUUGCACAAUGGGCGGAAGCCUGAUGCAGCGACGCCGCGUGAGGGAUGACGGCCUUCGGGUUGUAAACCUCUUUCAGCAGGGACGAAGCGUAAGUGACGGUACCUGCAGAAGAAGCACCGGCUAACUAUGUG
rnacentral:rRNA from 1 species